GGCUUUAUAGUGUAUUUAGCACAUUAGAUUGCAAGUCUACUAGAGGAUAAAUCCUAAAGCUU
rnacentral:tRNA from 1 species